rnacentral:rRNA from 1 species
AGCCUGCCCAGUGACUAAGUUAAACGGCCGCGGUACCCUAACCGUGCAAAGGUAGCGCAAUCACUUGUUCUUUAAAUGAGGACUAGUAUGAACGGCAUCACGAGGGUUACACUGUCUCCCUAUUCCAUUCAGUGAAACUGAUCUUCCCGUGAAGAAGCGGGAAUAUAAAUAUAAGACGAGAAGACCCCAUGGAGCUUUAAACUCAGUGUCAUCUGCCACUUCAAUACCCUCUUAAUUACGCAGACCAUGAUAACUAGUUUUCGGUUGGGGUGACCGCGGAGUAAAACAAAACCUCCACAACGAAAGGAACUAACAACCUAAUCCAAGAGCAACAUCUCUAAGAAUCAACAAAUUGACUUAAUUGAUCCAAUCACUUGAUCAACGAACCAAGUUACCCUGGGGAUAACAGCGCAAUCCAUUUCAAGAGCUCAUAUCGACAAAUGGGUUUACGACCUCGAUGUUGGAUCAGGGUAUCCCAGUGGCGCAGCAGCUACUAACGGUUCGUUUGUUCAACGAUUAAA